rnacentral:tRNA from 1 species
GCAGGAAUAACACAAUUGGCUAGUGUAGCGUCCUUGUAAGACGAAGGCUGGGGGUUCGAGUCCCUCUUCCUGCACCA